AACGAACGCUGGCGGCAUGCCUAACACAUGCAAGUCGAACGAGACCUUCGGGUCUAGUGGCGCACGGGUGCGUAACGCGUGGGAACCUGCCCUUAGGUUCGGAAUAACUCCCCGAAAGGGGUGCUAAUAUCGGAUAAUGUCUUCGGACCAAAGAUUUAUCGCCUUUGGAUGGGCCCGCGUUGGAUUAGCGAGUUGGUAGGGUCAAAGCCUACCAAGGCGACGAGCCAUAGCUGGUCUGAGAGGAUGAUCAGCCACACUGGGACUGAGACACGGCCCAGACUCCUACGGGAGGCAGCAGUGAUGAAUAUUGGACAAUGGGCGAGAGCCUGAUCCAGCAAGGCCGCGUGAGUGAUGAAGGCCUUAGGGUUGUCGAGCUCUUUGACCCGAGAUGAUAAUGACGGUACCGGGAGAAUAAGCUCCGGCUAACUCCGUG
rnacentral:rRNA from 1 species